rnacentral:rRNA from 1 species
UACUACCUAGUGACCGAUAGUGAACCAGUACCGUGAGGGAAAGGUGAAAAGCACCCCGGGAGGGGAGUGAAAUAGAACCUGAAACCGUGUGCCUACAACAAGUUAGAGCCCGUUAAUGGGUGAUAGCGUGCCUUUUGUAGAAUGAACCGGCGAGUUACGAUUGCAUGCGAGGUUAAGUUGAAGAGACGGAGCCGUAGCGAAAGCGAGUCUGAAUAGGGCGAUAGAGUAUGUAGUCGUAGACCCGAAACCAUGUGAUCUACCCAUGUCCAGGUUGAAGGUGCGGUAAAACGCACUGGAGGACCGAACCAGGACACGUUAAAAAGUGUUUGGAUGAGGUGUGGGUAGCGGAGAAAUUCCAAACGAACUUGGAGAUAGCUGGUUCUCUCCGAAAUAGCUUUAGGGCUAGCCUCGGAAGUAAGAAUGAUGGAGGUAGAGCACUGUUUGGACUAGGGGCCCAUCUCGGGUUACCGAAUUCAGAUAAACUCCGAAUGCCAUUCAUUUAUAUCCGGGAGUCAGACUGCGAGUGAUAAGAUCCGUAGUCGAAAGGGAAACAGCCCAGACCACCAGCUAAGGUCCCCAAAUGUAUGUUAAGUGGAAAAGGAUGUGGGGUUGCACAGACAACUAGGAUGUUGGCUUAGAAGCAGCCACCAUUUAAAGAGUGCGUAAUAGCUCACUAGUCGAGUGACCCUGCGCCGAAAAUGUACCGGGGCUAAACAUACUACCGAAGCUGUGGAUUGUACUUACGUACAAUGGUAGGAGAGCGUUCUAAGGGCGUUGAAGGUAGAUCGUGAGGACUGCUGGAGCGCUUAGAAGUGAGAAUGCCGGUAUGAGUAGCGAAAGACAGGUGAGAAUCCUGUCCACCGAAUAACUAAGGUUUCCUGGGGAAGGCUCGUCCGCCCAGGGUUAGUCGGGACCUAAGCCGAGGCCGACAGGCGUAGGCGAUGGACAACAGGUUGAUAUUCCUGUACUCGUUGUUUUCGUUUGAGCAAUGGAGGGACGCAGGAGGCUAGGAAAAGCAGACGAAUGGAAAUGUCUGUCUAAGCAGUGAGUUUUGUGAUGAGUCAAAUGCUUGUCACUUUAAGAAUGAGCUGUGAUGGGGAGGUUGAUCUUGAAUCGACCGAGUUUCUGAUGUCACACUGUCAAGAAAAGCUUCUAGCGAGAAAACAACGACCCGUACCGCAAACCGACACAGGUAGUUGAGGAGAGAAUCCUAAGGUGAGCGAGAGAACUCUCGUUAAGGAACUCGGCAAAAUGACCCCGUAACUUCGGGAGAAGGGGUGCUGCAUUUAUGCAGCCGCAGUGAAUAGGCCCAAGCGACUGUUUAUCAAAAACACAGGUCUCUGCAAAAUCGUAAGAUGACGUAUAGAGGCUGACACCUGCCCGGUGCUGGAAGGUUAAGAGGAGAGCUUAGCGUGAGCGAAG